rnacentral:misc_RNA from 1 species
UCCGGCUUAACGCCGGCAGUCUCCCUAGAGUGCCCAACUUAAUUCGAGGCAACGCGAAGAACCUUACCUGGGCUCGAAGCACAGUGGACCGGGGUAGAAAUAUCCCUUUUCGCAAGAACUGCUGUGGAGGUGCUGCAUGGCUGUCGUCAGCUCGUGUCGUGAGAUGUUGGGUUAAGUCCCGCAACGAGCGCAACCCUUAUCGUUAGUUGCCAUCAGGUCAAGCUGGGCACUCUAGCGAAACCGCCCCGGAUAACGGGGAGGAAGGUGGGGAUGACGUAGCUAAGCCUUC